rnacentral:rRNA from 1 species
AUUGAACGCUGGCGGCAGGCCUAACACAUGCAAGUCGAGCGGAUGAAGGGAGCUUGCUCCUGGAUUCAGCGGCGGACGGGUGAGUAAUGCCUAGGAAUCUGCCUGGUAGUGGGGGAUAACGUCCGGAAACGGGCGCUAAUACCGCAUACGUCCUGAGGGAGAAAGUGGGGGAUCUUCGGACCUCACGCUAUCAGAUGAGCCUAGGUCGGAUUAGCUAGUUGGUGGGGUAAAGGCCUACCAAGGCGACGAUCCGUAACUGGUCUGAGAGGAUGAUCAGUCACACUGGAACUGAGACACGGUCCAGACUCCUACGGGAGGCAGCAGUGGGGAAUAUUGGACAAUGGGCGAAAGCCUGAUCCAGCCAUGCCGCGUGUGUGAAGAAGGUCUUCGGAUUGUAAAGCACUUUAAGUUGGGAGGAAGGGCAGUAAGUUAAUACCUUGCUGUUUGGACGUUACCAACAGAAGAAGCACUGGCUAACUUCGU